rnacentral:rRNA from 1 species
UGGUAUGCACUGGCUUCGCUGAUUCCUCCUUUCUGAAGAACUGUAAUGCCAUUAAUUUGGUGUUGCAGGGGAACAGGACUGUUACUUUGAAAAAAUUAGAGUGUUUAAAGCAGGCUAAGGCUUGAAUACAUUAGCAUGGAAUAAUGAAAUAGGACGUUCGAUCCUAUUUUGUUGGUUUCUAGGAUUGACGUAAUGAUUAAUAGGGAUAGUUGGGGGCAUUAGUAUUCAAUUGUCAGAGGUGAAAUUCUUGGAUUUAUUGAAGACUAACUACUGCGAAAGCAUUUGCCAAGGAUGUUUUCAUUAAUCAAGAACGAAAGUUAGGGGAUCGAAGACGAUCAGAUACCGUCGUAGUCUUAACCAUAAACUAUGCCGACUAGGGAUCGGAUGAUGUUAAUUUUUUAAUGACUCAUUCGGCGCCUUACG